rnacentral:rRNA from 1 species
UACGAAGGGGGCUAGCGUUGCUCGGAAUCACUGGGCGUAAAGGGUGCGUAGGCGGGUCUUUAAGUCAGGGGUGAAAUCCUGGAGCUCAACUCCAGAACUGCCUUUGAUACUGAAGAUCUUGAGUUCGGGAGAGGUGAGUGGAACUGCGAGUGUAGAGGUGAAAUUCGUAGAUAUUCGCAAGAACACCAGUGGCGAAGGCGGACUUACCUGGUCCGGUUCUGACGCUGAGGCGCGAAAGCGUGGGGAGCAAACAGG